rnacentral:rRNA from 1 species
CUAAUACAUGCAAGUCGAGCGAACAGACAAGGAGCUUGCUCCUUUGACGUUAGCGGCGGACGGGUGAGUAACACGUGGGUAACCUACCUAUAAGACUGGGAUAACUUCGGGAAACCGGAGCUAAUACCGGAUAAUAUUUCGAACCGCAUGGUUCGAUAGUGAAAGAUGGUUUUGCUAUCACUUAUAGAUGGACCCGCGCCGUAUUAGCUAGUUGGUAAGGUAACGGCUUACCAAGGCGACGAUACGUAGCCGACCUGAGAGGGUGAUCGGCCACACUGGAACUGAGACACGGUCCAGACUCCUACGGGAGGCAGCAGUAGGGAAUCUUCCGCAAUGGGCGAAAGCCUGACGGAGCAACGCCGCGUGAGUGAUGAAGGUCUUCGGAUCGUAAAACUCUGUUAUUAGGGAAGAACAUACGUGUAAGUAACUAUGCACGUCUUGACGGUACCUAAUCAGAAAGCCACGGCUAACUACGUGCCAGCAGCCGCGGUAAUACGUAGGUGGCAAGCGUUAUCCGGAAUUAUUGGGCGUAAAGCGCGCGUAGGCGGUUUUUUAAGUCUGAUGUGAAAGCCCACGGCUCAACCGUGGAGGGUCAUUGGAAACUGGAAAACUUGAGUGCAGAAGAGGAAAGUGGAAUUCCAUGUGUAGCGGUGAAAUGCGCAGAGAUAUGGAGGAACACCAGUGGCGAAGGCGACUUUCUGGUCUGUAACUGACGCUGAUGUGCGAAAGCGUGGGGAUCAAACAGGAUUAGAUACCCUGGUAGUCCACGCCGUAAACGAUGAGUGCUAAGUGUUAGGGGGUUUCCGCCCCUUAGUGCUGCAG